rnacentral:lncRNA from 1 species
GAAAAUAAGAACACAAGAGAGAAAAGUUUGAGUGAAUGCUCUCAAGGAUUCUUCUUACUCAAAACUCAAGUGAUUUACAAUGAGGGAAGAGGUCUCUUAUUUAUAGUUGAGCCUCCCCAAAUCCAACGGUGCAAAAUUAAGUACAUCAACGGCUAUGAUUAAAGGGCACCUACCACCAAACCUUUAAGAAUAUAAAAUCAUAUCUUCUAAGAUUACAUAUCUUAUCUAAGAUAUGUAAUCUUAUAAAAUAAUAUAUUAUAUUUGUCUAACUUGUAGAUGGGCCUUCAAUCUCUUCAAGCAACGGGCCGGUCUGAUUGGGCCAAAUGACCUCCUUCCUUCUUGAUGGUUCACACAGAUGUGUCAUGGUUGCGGGCUCCCAUGCGCAACCCAUGACAUUCUCCCCCACCAAAUCUAGCGACGCCCUCGUCGCGUCCUCUGCAUGGUAUCGAUCUAUCUUGUCUUGGAAUUGCCACAAGGCUUCAGCAAGUUCCCAACUCAUCUCACUAUCCGGGAAUCCCUUCCAUCGGACUAAGUAUUCGCGCCGCGGUCGGUAGUGCUUACGUCUGACCAUACGAUCCGCUUCGAUGUUCUCGACCUCUCGAUCAUAGGCGACUUUUACCCCCAUUGGUGCUCGUUCAGACUUGCUUCGAUUUGGGUCUUCUCCAUCUUUAUGGAAUGGUUUAAGCAUACUCACGUGGAAUACUGGAUGAACUUUAAGCUUUUCAGGCAACUCGAGCUUGUAGGCCACCUUGCCUACCUUCUUCACAAUUCGAAAUGGCCCCUCGUACCGCCGAACGAGUCCUUUGUGUAACCCAUCAUGUCGCAAAAUCAGGUGUAGUUUGGCAAGAACUGGUUCACCUACCUGAAAUUGUACGUCCCUUCGAUUUCGAUCUGCCCAUUUCUUAUUGCGCUUACUUGCCUUAUGUAGACAAGCUCUAGCUAGAUCGUUUUGCUCUUGCCAAUCCCUCGCAAAUCGAUAAGCUGCUGGAUUCGGUCCCGCAUAACGAGUUGCAACUGCAUUGGGUGUAAGCGGUUGUUGCCCCGUUACUAUCUCAAAUGGACUCUGGUUCGUUGCCCCACUUCGUUGUAAGUUGUACGAAAACUGGGCAACAUCCAAAAACUUUGGCCAAUCCUUUUGUGUUGCACUUACAUAGUGUCGAAGAUACGUCUCCAACAAUGCAUUCACUCGUUCAGUUUGCCCAUCAGUUUGAGGAUGCAUGCUAGUGGAAAAGUUUAAGUCUGAGCCCAUUAACUUGAACAACUCUGUCCAAAACCGACCCGUGAAUCGCCCAUCUCGAUCACUGAUGAUAGACUGUGGUACUCCCCAAUACUUCACCACAUGUUUAAGGAAUAAGCGAGCUGCCUCAUCAGCAGGACAUUCUUUGGUUGCGGGGACGAAAGUUGCAUACUUCGAAAACCUGUCCACCACAACAAAAAUACUCGCAAAUCCAUCAGAUUUAGGCAAGCCUGUGAUAAAGUCCAUGGACAAGCUCUCCCAUGGGCGCUCCGGAAUGGGCAAUGGUUGUAACAAACCAGCAGGGGCUUUCAACUCAACCUUAUCUUGUUGGCAUAUUCAACAAGUUUUCACAUAGGCCUCCACAUCAUCCCCCAUGUGAGGCCAAUAAAAUCGAUCCUCCAAUAGAGCCAAGGUGCGGUGUAUUCCUGGAUGGCCAGCCCAUUUUGAAUCAUGGCAUUCCUUCAUGACUUCCCUUCGUAAAUUCUUAUGUUGAGGCACAUAUAGACGUUGCCCAUGAGUGUAUAGCAAUUCUCCCUCGAGCCAAAAUCGCCUCGUCUUUCCAUCUCUAGCAAGCUCUAUUAGAUUUUUAGCCGUGGGAUCAAGGGACAGUCCUUCUUGGAUGCGCUCUAAUAAGGGACUCUCAGGUUGGCUUAUCGUUGCGAAUUCCAUUUUUCGGCUAAGUGCAUCGGCCACAAUGUUGGCACUCCCCAGCUUGUAUUCCAUGCUAAAAUCAAACUCUGCUAGGAAAACCUGCCAACGAGCCUGCUUGGGGGACAACUUUUUCUGGGUUAAGAAAUAGCUAUUUGCAACAUUAUCAGUGAAUACCACAAACAUGGAACCCAGCAAGUAGUGUCUCCAUGUGCGCAAACAAUGCACCACUGCCGUCAUCUCUUUUUCUUGGACCGUGUAUCUCCGUUCCGUCUCGUUAAGCUUUCGACUCUCGAAAGCAAUCGGAUGCCCAUCUUGCAUCAACACCCCUCCAAUCGCAUACUCUGAAGCAUCUGUGUGUACCUCAUACGCUUUUGAAAAAUUGGGCAAUGCAAGUACAGGCUCACUCGUUAUUGCUUGCUUCACUUGGUUGAAGGCUUUCUCACACCGAAGGUCCCAAUCCCACACUUUGCCCUUUUUCAACAGGUCCGUCAAGGGUGCAGUGAUCUUAGAAUAGCCCUCAAUGAAGCGACGGUAGUAAUUUGCUAAUCCAAGGAAAGACCGCAACUCCGUCACCUUGGUUGGUGACUCCCAAUCGGCAAUUGCUUGAAUUUUUCUUUCAUCCAUUCGAAUCAUGCCCCCUCCCACAAUAUGGCCUAGAAAUGGCACUUCUCGUUGGGCAAAGGAGCAUUUCUCCUUUUUGACAUGUAGCUUAUUUUCUCGUAGAGUUUGAAACACCUCCCCCAAGUGUCCCACAUGCUCUUCGAGCGUCUUACUAUAUACCACAAUAUCGUCAAGAUAAACAACCACAAAACGAUCCAAGAAAGGUUGUAAUACCUUAUUCAUUAGGGUACAAAAUGUGGCCGAAGCAUUUGUCAACCCGAAUGGCAUUACCAAGAACUCAAAGGACCCAUACCUAGUUACACAGACUGUCUUGGGUUCAUCCCCUUCGGCUAUUCUCACUUGGUGGUACCCCGAUCGCAAAUCCAACUUAGUAAACCAUCUCGCGCUACCAAGUUGAUCGAACAAAUCUGCAAUAAGAGGAAUGGGGUACCUAUUUUUUAUAGUGAUUUUGUUUAAGGCCCUGUAGUCGAUGCACAUUCUCAAAGAUCCAUCAUGCUUCUUUUGAAAUAACACCGGUGCGCCGAACGGGGCUUUAGAUGGUCUAAUGAACCCGGCAUCUAAAAGCUCUAUCAACUGCUUCCGCAAUUCUUCUAGUUCCGGUGGAGCCAUCCGAUAUGGUGCCCUUGCUGGUGGUUCAGCAUUAGGCAACAGCUCAAUCUUGUGGUCCACCUCCCUCUUAGGUGGCAAUCUUUUGGGCAACUUUACCGGCAUUACAUCUUGAAAUGACUUUAGCAACCGUUCCACUUCCUUUGGAAAUUCCACCUCGAAUUUAUCAUCCACAUUGUCUCUCAAGGUAGCUAGGUAGGAGACUUCAUUUCGACGAACUCCUUUGGCAAAUUGAAUUGCCGACAAGGUUUUCCCCCCCAUGCUUCCUUUCCUUUUCAUUCUCACCAUAUAUCAUUGAUUUGCAUCGGAGAUGGUCAUGUAGUUCUCGGAAGGGUGAAUAUCCGCAUUAAGCCUGUCAAGUAAACUUAAUCCAACUACAAAAUCGUAAUCAUCAAGUGGGAUUACCUUAAUGGUCGCUUUGCCCGUCCACUCACCAAGUUUGAGUUCCACCCCUUUUGCCACACCCGUUAUGGGAAUGCUUUCUGAAUUCACCGUUUUGAUUCGUCCCGAAUCUUCCUCGAUUCUAAGGCCAAGUUCCUUUGCCAUUUCUUUAGACAUAAAUAAAUCAGAUGCACCAGUAUCAACAAGUGCAUUCAAUCUUCUGCCAGCUACGAUGAUGUCCACAAACAUCAACCCAUUGCUUGACUUCUCUUCAACACCUCCUAAUAUCGAAUUGAGGCUUUUGGUGUCAUCUUCGGCUUCUUCGCGUGCCUCCAUGGCAUGAAAAGCGGCUUUCUUUGGACAGACACUCAUUCUAUGUGGGCCUUGGCAAAGAAAGCACUUCAUUGGUCCUUUUCUAUCCUAAGGCUUACCUUGACUAGACUUUGGGCCUUCGUCGUUCUUUUCUCUUUGAUCCUUGUUUCCCCCACCAUUAUCUUUGGGUCUCGACUUGGGUUUGUAAGAAUCUUUAUUAUCAAACGUUCUUCCCCCAACAUCAUAGAAAUUUUCUGCCUUGGCCAUAGCUUCGGUCAGUUCGGUGAUAUCUAGGCGACGCAACUCUUGCUUGGCCCACAUUUUUAAACCAUCCUCGAACCAAUAGAAUGCUUCUUUCUCAUUCAAGUCUGAGAUCUGAAGCAUCAACUUGCUGAAUUCCCGAACAUAAUCUCGAACAGUGCCUUGUUGCGUAAGCCGACGCAACUUAGCACGAGCCUCCUUUUCGGCAUGUUGUGGAUAAAACUGCUUCUUCAACUCUCUUUGGAACUCCUCCCAAGUUCCAAUGGUCGUUCCUCCACGUUUCUCAUCCGUGGACCUACGUCUCCACCACAAGAGAGCAACAUCAGAAAAGUAAAUUGAAGCGGUGUUUACCUUGGUGGCAUCAUCCUCAAUGCCAAUUGCUCGAAAAUACUGCUCCAAUUCCCACAGGAAGUUGUCUACUUCUCUUGCGGACCUAAUCCCCUUGAACUUCUUGGGUUUUGGAACAUCCACAUGACGUUGCUUCGGUCCCGAAGCCAACAUCCCACUUCCCAAGGCAGCCUUACAGAUUCUGAGCUCCCCCUUAAGCUCAGCAAUCUCUUCCUUCAUGGCAGUCAGCAGGGCCUCAAGAGCUUCGUCCCUCCCUGUUAGUUUGUCCGAAGUGGAUCUGAUGGAGUCCAACACAAACUCCUUGCUAUCUUCCCUCAGUUCAUCCAUACGGGUUAGGACCACUUCGAGUGUCUCCUUCAUGUCACCAGCGGACUCCUCGAGAUUAACCACUCGAAUUUCCAAGCUCGACAGCAUAUCCCUCGAUCGACUAGCCUUUCUAGCCCUCCCACGGGUCUCCAUUGGCUCAUUCUGAUCAACUUCUUUCGACAUAUCUCAAAAGUGCUUUCGAACGGCUCUGAUACCAACUGUCACGGACUUAAGAUUCUUUCCUCAGAAUCCAUGCGGCCUUAGGCAGUUUCUUACUCCAAAACGCCUAAGUCAGCCUAACUUCCACAAAAGAAGGAUUCAACAGAAUUCCUCCCUAAAACACAACUCAAGCGAAAGCAACUCAAAGCCAACAAGAUGAAAAAAAAAUGAGACAAGAAUAAGCCAGGGAAAAUAAGAACACAAGAGAGAAAAGUUUGAGUGAAUGCUCUCAAGGAUUCUUCUUACUCAAAACUCAAGUGAUUUACAAUGAGGGAAGAGGUCUCUUAUUUAUAGUUGAGCCUCCCCAAAUCCAACGGUGCAAAAUUAAGUACAUCAACGGCUAUGAUUAAAGGGCACCUACCACCAAACCUUUAAGAAUAUAAAAUCAUAUCUUCUAAGAUUACAUAUCUUAUCUAAGAUAUGUAAUCUUAUAAAAUAAUAUAUUAUAUUUGUCUAACCUGUAGAUGGGCCUUCAAUCUCUUCAAGCAACGGGCCGGUCUGAUUGGGCCAAAUGACCUCCUUCCUUCUUGAUGGUUCACACAGAUGUGUCAUGGUUGCGGGCUCCCAUGCGCAACCCAUGACACU